CCUCACCUCUUAUGGGAGGCAGACAUUGUAUUUGACAAUGACAGGCUUCCCCUUGUCCCACGAGAAGGAAAAACUCAGCCCCAUGGAAGACCGCCCAUGCGCUCAACUGCUUCUCUGACUUGAGCUGAGGUCUAUGGCAGAAUGGGAGGGGGUUCAGUGAUGUUCAGAGGCUUGAAGGGCCAGAGGCUGGCACUAGAGCUGGGGAUUGGGACUGCAGUGGCAGCUUAUAUAGGAAGAAGUCAAAGCAGCCUCCCUAUCCCGGCAGCCCCCUGGGGGGAGUGCAGAAGAGGAACUCAAGAGAUCUCUGGUGCAUGCUAAAUUUCAAGGGUACGGGGAAAACUGGGACGUCGGCUUAGAGGGGAAGCCAGAAGGGUAAACAUGUUGCCAUGGAGUUCUGUUUAAAAUAAAAUACAAUGGAAAGAAAAGCAGCAUGAUGAAGUAACCACAUGGACUGCAGGAUACACCUGAUACUAAUUACUGUCAUGCAGAAUGUUCUGGAAGACAUUUGACUCGCCUGAUGUAUACAUUCAAAUCAAGCAAAGUAGGACUGGAAGGCUCCUUAGGGACCAUCUUGUCCAAGUCUUUCCUUUUUCCAGAUGAGGAAGUAGGGGCCCACAGAGAGGGAGGGCCUGGACCUCAGCCUCCCAGCGCGGAGGGAGCAGAGCCGGGAUUCAAACCCGUGGUGCUUUGUAGGAAACCCGUAAUUUCCACGGUCUUUUUCCUUGGGCUGUCAGUAAGGCCCUGAAAUAGGAGAGUGGGGUUUACUGUGAACCUCGAAGGAGCAGGCUCAAGAGCCAGGGGGCCCAGAAUAGGGCAGAGGCUGGCUUCUCACUGGGAGGCUCAACUUCCCGCAGGGGCGCCAGGCCCUGACAGGAGAGACUGGACAUUAGGUGUCUGGAAGUUUCUCCUUCUAGGGGCUCCAGGAGCAUCCCACCUGAGGCCUGGGGCUCCCACCGGAACGUCAACUCAUGCCCUUGUGGGGCUGCAGGGCUGACGCGGGCUGGCACUGUGUCUACGACAGCCUCCCGGGCCCCCGGGUGCGUGGCUGCGGAUGCUCUCUGGCGGCCACCACAGUUCCCACGCGCGGCGGGUGAAUGCGAGCCCCUUGUCAAUGCGUGCCCCUCGCCUCUGCCCCCGAGAGGCUAGCAACCGGGCCUGCCGGCGUCUGAUUGGCCGUGGGGGCCUGACGACAGGGGCUCCUGGUUGCUGAUUGGCCCCGGCCAGCUCUGGCUGUUUCCUAGCUAUUAAUACUGUGGCUAAUAAACGUUCUCCU
rnacentral:lncRNA from 1 species